CUUGUUACUUCAUUUGAGGAUCACCUUUUAUGGCAUCCUGAUUGCAAUACUAACAACAUUUACAUAACUAGUGAUCAGGACCUAAUUAUUUCAUACUGCAAAGCUGAUUCUGAUGAUCCCUUAUCUGAAGGAAAUGCGGGAUCUAUUAAUAUCAGCAAUAUUCUGUCUGGUAAAUGCCUUGCUAAAAUAAAAGCAACCAGCGGCAAGGCCACUGAUGAUUGUAAUGCUAGUAGCAGUGUACCUGGUAAAAAAAGUUACAACUCAAAUAAGCGGGUCCAAGAUUCCAGAAUUAGGAGCACGGUGGCAGAAGCCCUAGAAGAUAUUACUGCCCUUUUCUAUGACGAAGAGCGCAAUGAGAUCUAUACUGGGAACAGGCUUGGACUGGUCCAUGUGUGGUCUAACUGACUAAUUAUCCUGCUCCCCUGAUGUCUAAGAUUGUUACUGAUGGAGGAAUGCCUCAGGUAACAUUGUAUCACUUAGUAUGGUGUUUUUAGUCUUGUACCCAAAGGAAUGAUUUGAGUUGUGUCAUCUCUAUUUACUUUAAACUGUACCGUUGGUUUGUAAUGUGGUUGCUUGGGUGAUUGCCCUGUUAGAUGAGGUAUUCUAGAUGAUUUCUAGUGUACUGCUAGUACUUUUGUAACUUAGGGCUGUCUACUGAGUUGUAGUCAGAGCUAGUUAACCAGUAAGUCUCAUUUAAUUCAGCCAUUCUAAUGCUUUAAAUGGUUGAG
rnacentral:misc_RNA from 1 species